GCUGGCUGCCCCGCUCGCCUCCCCGGGUGCGCACGGCUCCGACCCCGCGCUCCGCUCCGCCUCCGCCACGCCGCUCUCCGAGCUUCGGCUGCAGCCAGCCCCAGAGCGCACCCUCCGCCCGCCACCCCGGCCCCCGGCCCUGGCUCUCUGCGCCCAGCGCUCGGUCCCCGCGGCUGGUGCCCGGCCCCUCGCGCCCCGCGACCCCGCCGCCUCCCACGUCCCAGCCCCGCUUCCCGCCCGGGCCCCGCUCUCCCGCUGUCUGUCCGCGUCUCCCCGCCCGCCUUCCUUCCUCCCUCUCUUUUGCUCGCUUGCCGCUUGUUCGCUAGCUUUCAGUCUCGGCGAAACAGCUUCGCAGGAAAAUCCCAGAAACCUUUGCAAAAAGCUGACAAUGAAAUUUAAGAAGUUCUUCGAUUUCGGCGCCAUUUUCGAGUGGAGCGAGAGGUGACAUGAGAUUUUUUAAAAAGGGACUUGUUGGCUGGCGUUUUUCCCGAUAGGAACGUUGGUUACGGUGGACUGAAAAAAAUCUGGUGACAAUGCUGAAAAAGUUCCGUGUGGCUUUGGGAUUGGAAAGCAUGCUUGGGGGCCGGGGUGCGGGCGAAACAGACCUUGAAAGUGUUUAGCACAGGAGUGCGGCCGGGAAAAUUCUUAGGAAACGGGCAGGAAAAAAGCUAACAGGGAGGGGCGGGGAGAGAAAACUGAGUAAGGGGCAGUGACCGACUGUCAGCCUCGCCAGGGUCGGGAGCGACUGGUUUUGACAAACUGUAAAUGGACUUUUCACGGCUCUUAUUUGCAAGCGGCAAACUAUGUCUUGGAAAUAAAUGUGUGAUUAAUUUUGCACUGUCUUUUUCCCAAUUAAAACUUUCAAGGUUGUUUAGUUUUCCCUGUAGGAGUCUUGACAUUGGGAAGGUUUGGCACCAAUGCGCCAAGGGAAGGUACCUGGUGUGUUUGGGGCGUGGGGAAGAAGGCAUCUGCAAAAUUCAGACAAAACGUUGUAAAAUAUGAACAGAGGAAGAGGCGGAUUCUUUGGCUCUUAAAUGAUGUUGCCAAACAGUUCUAUUCAGAAGGGAUGGGUGGGGCUAUGGGCAACUCGAAAGUAUCGAUUCUUUGUCUUUUGUAUCAGCGACCGACCCUCUCCUGAAGUGACAAGACGCCUCUUUGUAAUCUCUUUUCGGCAACCAAGGACGUUUUUCUCCAUUAAUCCCAAAAGUCAAUGUAAAAGUUGUUUGUAAAUAGCAUAGCCAGAACAAGAUGGAAUUUAGAGACCCUUAAUUGUGUGUCCGAAUUUAGGGAGUGGGGUUUUCAUUAUUAAUAACUUACCAUGACAUAAAUAGUGUAUUUGGUAUCACUGGAACUCAGUCUGGUGUUAGGAAUUUUGUGCUUAGUCUCAUUAAAUACUCUGCACAUUUUAUUAACUAAUAAAUACACAACAUCCAUUGUACUGGUGUUGAAAAACCUGCAUAAUUUUUAAAUGAAC
rnacentral:lncRNA from 1 species